UAUUAGAAAGUGUUUUCUAUAAUUAAUUUGAUUCUGGCUUUUCCAAAGUUGGUGGGUGUUAUCUUGUUCUGUUUGUUUUGUUUUUAUUUUUUUUUGUUCUGUUUGUUUUAAAUUGUAAAUCUAAGUAUUCUAGGAUUUUUAAGAGCUGUAAAAUACAGUAGCAUUAGGUAUUCAACCGACAUUGAUACAAAAAACUCAGCUGAAGAGCUUGUCAUUAUAGAAGUGGAAUCUAACUGGGGAGUAUGUAUUUAAAUGCCAUUCUGCAAGCAAAGGGUCAGAUGAUGGUUUAUGUUAGUAUUGUGAAUGUAUUAAAUCCUAACAAGAUUGACCGUUUAUUUUGGUAGCUGUCUCCAUUGAAGGUUCUUAAAAUCAGCAAGAAUCUUAAAGACUUGGAAUAUUAUUUUAACUCAAUGCUAUUCAGAUUCCUUCUUAGGAGCUUAAUAUCACUUCACCUAUCCAAAGGGUUUAAGUCAGCCAUUAUAUAUAUUUUGCAGUUAAGGAAAGGUGACUAUAAGCCAUGAAUCUUGCUGAAGCAAUAUUGUGAUGUAUACUGAUUAUCCUCCAGAUUUAAAGAUCUUAAUUUUAUUCUAGAGAACAAACCUUACAUACUCAGAAUUAUUUUGGGAAAUUUUGGAAUCUUUACAAUUUGAGUUGUCUUUAACAAUGAUUACAAACUUAACAUAAGGUCCUGGUGAAUGUUGGAAGUCUAGAGAAGGUUUUUGCCGUCAAGGACUGCAUCUUCCUAGGAGGCAGGGUGUGUGCAGCAAAAUCUAACUAGCAACACCAACUUUCUGAUAAGUACCACUUAAAAUGAUCCAGGUACUUGCUAUUCCCCCUGAAGUGCUCUUACUGCAAAUAAAGCUUCCUCAAGGUUGGUGUUCAGUUAUCUCCACUAUAAACUUUGAUCCAACCAUGUAUUUAAAGAUAGCAACAUCCUUCCCUUGCAUUUUUUAGGCUUCUUCCCUGUUUUAUGGUCUCCAUGGCAUCUCAGCAUCUGAGCUCUAUCUUAGUUUUUCAGUUUCCUCUCAGUAGUACAAACAGCAGGGAAUUUUUAUUUACUGUGUUAUCCCCAUGGCCUAGAACAGCUUCUGACAUUUGGUAAAUGAUCACUAGGUAGUAUAUAAAUGAAUGGAUAGGAAAGCCAUUUCACCAAAAGAUUGCUUAUAUUUGGAAUAAUUGGACCUAGAUUCAAUGUUAGCUUGGAGAAAGAAGGCCCAAGGCCUUCCUGAUAGGGGCAAAGUAAUGAAGAAUUUGCCUGCUGUGCCUUAAGCACCUCUUUUGCAUGAGUAUUUAAUGCUUGUUAUUAAAUCACUUAAGUCUUAAGUAUCAAAAGCUAUUUGUGUAUAUAAGCUGCUCCAUUGUAUCCACAUCUUCAUUAUGACAUCAUCAAUCUCAGGUGAAGGACUACUACAGUCAUCUUGUAACUUUACUGUUAUCAGUGCAUUAUGUUCUUUUUCCUGUGUUUUGAUAUUAGUAUGUUUUAUCUAGCUUAUUACAGAGAAGGGUCAAGAGAAGAUGGCAAUCAGGAGUUACUUCCCUGUGAAGUCUGUGGAAGACGCUUUGCAGCAGAUGUUCUGGAAAGGCAUGGACCAAUAUGUAGGAAACUCUUCAACAAAAAACGCAAACCUUUCAAUUCCCUGAAACAAAGAUUACAGGGCACUGACAUCCCCAUUGUGAAAAAAGCUCCUCAGUCCAAGCCUCAAUCUAUGAGAAGAUCUAAUUGGAGACAACAACAUGAAGACCUCAUUAAUGCCAUCCGAUCGGCAAAGCAGUGUACACUAGCCAUUAAAGAAGGCCGACCUCUCCCCCCUCCACCUCCUCCAUCUGUCAACCCAGAUUAUAUUCAAUGUCCAUAUUGCAUGAGGAGGUUUAAUGAAACUGCAGCCAACCGACAUAUUAACUUCUGCAAGGAUCAGUCUUCUCGCCGAGUCUUUGAUCCAGCCCAAACAGCAGGCAAAUUGGCAUCCAGAGUGCAGGCAAGGGCAAAAAAAGAGCCAACUGUAACCAGUGCCGUGGGAGCCCUGCUGCAAAACAGGGCUCUGGAGACCCCAAAUAUGGCCCCAGCUAGGCCAGAAUCUAAUGAGAAGAUAAGCAUGUGCAGGAAGAUCUCUAAUACAAGAAAGCAUGUGAUGUUUUAUGAAGUUGAUUCACAGAUGCCAUGGAUGUUCAGAGGAUUCAUUCAUUCAUCACAUAAUUAUUAUGCAUGGUCUAUCUAUCUAUCUAGAGAGAGAGAGAGAAAGAGAGAAUGAGCAGGAUUAGCAGUGGACCCUGCUUCUGGAGCAAAACUCAGACAAGGAUUUACUAAAUCUUCUAAAAAAGAUUAACUCCUAGAGUCCAGACUGUCUCCCUUUAACUCAUCAACCUGGACAGCUGUGCACCCAGGAACGCCACCUAAGGGGAGAGGAAGGUGGAAUAAGCCCAUGAUUAUUCUUGAGACAUCAUGGAGAACAAGCUCUGGCAGAUGGCCUUCUCUGAGGGGUGACAGCGGAUAUAGGAAUGGAGGUCAGCAUCCCAGUGGAUUGCUACUGAAGAGAUGCGCUGACCAAAUGCUGUGCCAUUUAAGCACAAAUGGAAGGAUGGUGCUGAGCACAUCAGCGGAGCCACGGCAGCCUGAACUCCAGACCAGGGGAGAGGCAGUGUCGUGGUCCUGGGCCUGGUUCUACCCAGAUAUGGGCCUCUCAGUUACCAUGAGCUUUGCUUCCUGCUUUCCCACAUCCCAAUUUAUAUAUGCAGUCUCAGGCUGGGAGGAGAAUGUCGGAGGCACAGAUGAGGUUCCAGGAGCAGAAAGGUAAUCUGCAUCACUAGAGCUGGCACAUGUUCUGGAUCACCAGACCAUCUGUGGAAAGAAAAGGAACAGUUUUUUUGGAUUAGCCACUUGGAAACAAUGCUCUUCCUCCCCUACCAGUUCAACAUCAACUACCCAAUCAACAUGGUUCUUUAAAUGGUUCCAGUGUAGGACACAAGUCUCCCUCCUCCAGAGGUCCUUCUGCAUGUGAGUCCUAAGUGGCGAGGAGGCCAGCACAGUGUUUUGAUGGUACAUGAAGCACGCUUUCCUUUUGACAGAGACAGCUAUUUCCAUAGACACAGCAUUAUCUACUUCAGAUCAUGACUUCAGGUCAGUGUGAGGUUCAUUCAACCAAUUCAAAGAAGAAGAAAAAAAUCUCCCUCAUGCAUUAGUGGUUUACUGCUACAGAAACAAAAGUCAUCUCUGCUUAUUCAAACUGUGGGUUAUUCCUCUUUGCUCAUUGUUAGCAGAGCAUACGUUGUUAUCACACCUGUUUAAACUUCCACGGGAUGAGAUGAAAUAAUUUGUAUACAUCCAAGUUAAUUUGUUUGUAAGGUUACCAUGCUGAAGGUCUCAACUCUCUGGUGUCAACAAAAUGUGAAUAAAGCCAGUUUAGUUCA